rnacentral:lncRNA from 1 species
GCCUACUUCUUGUAAUUUUUUCAUUGGUAGUGGCACUAGUUGGAGUACUAUAUUUUUGACUUUUUAGUGCUUUUGCAUUUCUCCAUAUUAAAACAACUAAGGCUUCUGGCUUUGAUGUGUUUGAAUAGUUUAGAAAGAAAUGUCACACAUCUUUCUAGGUUUUGGUCAUUGUCCAGUGUUUUGUUAUUGCAACAUGAUGGAAGUAAGAAAGGAGGCCCUUUAGAUUAUACUUCUGGUAUCUUAAAUAUCAAUAAAAAAUAACAGUAACCAAGGUUACUCUGGAGCUUUGCAAGCUCCUGAAAUUUGUUAUUUCUGCUGGGUAUAAUUUUCCUAGCUUAGAAGCUGAGGUUUCAGAUUUUAAACAUGGAAUUUGGAACUAGGGAUUGGGGCUCUUUAGCACCAUAAAUGGAACUGAGUACCCUUUCUAAACUACAUGGAGCACAAUGGUUUUUCUUUUUUCCCUCCCAUUUUUUUACAUGACAUUUUACUUCUUUCACAUUCAUGUGCUGACAUGGCUUGUUUGCAUUCUAAAUUCUGUCCAAGUUUCUGUAACCUCAGCAACACCUAUAACAGAGCAUCACUCUAACGUGGACAGGGAAGAAAAUAUUUUCCUGGAGAAACACCCUGGAAUUCUCUGAUUGAGUAAUUUGCAAAAGAUUGUUAGCCAUAAGCUUCCUCUUAAAUGGAAAUGCUUUACAGUUUUAAUGGGCUUGUUUUGAGGGGAAAAGGCAUCAUUUA